rnacentral:lncRNA from 1 species
AUGCCUCAUUGUAGCACCGAAUGCACGAGGACUGCUCCAUCUGUAGUGCAAACCAGCUCAUAUGCAUCCCUUGCAUUGCACAUGCAAAGGUUUUCCUGCAUAGCACAGAACUGUGCUGACUUUGAACGGGAAUUAAUGUCGAAGAUGCCCCUGAAAUCCAAAGCCGGAAUUCAGAUGAAAGACUUCUACAGUUUUGGACAGAUAUUAUGUUGCCUGGGGAAGCUGUGCCUCCUGACCUGGAGGAACUGAAAAUCUCCUGGAUGAUGUCCUGGAUGGGAUGGAUGACCUCCUGAGGUCCCUUAUGACUUAGCUGCUUGUACCACUCUCCCCAGAACAUGAGGUGCUCCUAGGAUUCAAGCACACAGAGAUGGAUGUGUGAGUGGAACAUUGCUGCUGCUGCUCUCUGUCAUCAGAUACAAAAAUGUAAUGUGGACAGGACAAAUUAUCUAACCUCUGUGUGACACAGGGAAUGAGCAGCAAGGAGAUGGAUGGGGUGCAGAUAUGAAGCGUGCAAAAUGUCAGCCAGUGGGUUUAAAAAGAGUAAAAGAGUCCCCAGAGAGACUCUUUUUGUAACAAACUUAUAUGAUCUGACAGUCACACACUCUAAAAUUGAAUUAAUAAAUCAUUCACAGUGCUGGUUGGAAUAGUUAAU